GAUGAACGCUGGCGGCGUGCCUAAUACAUGCAAGUCGAGCGAACGGACGAGAAGCUUGCUUCACUGAUGUUAGAGGCGGACGGGUGAGUAACACGUGGAUAACCUCCCUAUAAGACUGGGAUAACUUCGGGAAACCGGAGCUAAUACCGGAUAAUAUUUUGAACCGCAUGGUUCAAAAGUGAAAGACGGUCUUGCUGUCACUUAUAGAUGGAUCCGCGCUGCAUUAGCUAGUUGGUAAGGUAACGGCUUACCAAGGCAACGAUGCAUAGCCGACCUGAGAGGGUGAUAGGCCACACUGGAACUGAGACACGGUCCAGACUCCUACGGGAGGCAGCAGUAGGGAAUCGUCCGCAAUGGGCGAGAGCCUGACGGAGCAACGGCGCGCGAGUGAUGAAGGUCUUCGGAUCGUAAAACUCUGUUAUGAGGGAAGAACAUAUGUGUAAGUAACUGUGCACAUCUUGACGGUACCUAAUCAGAAAGCCACGGCUAACUACGUG
rnacentral:rRNA from 1 species